UCGCGCGCGUUUCCUUUCACCGCCUCGGCACGCAACAUUGCCACCUCUUUCGGUGCCUCAACGCUGCACAGUUGACAUCGUUGCUUGUUUCUCUCUCAAGACUCGCGCAGACUACUUCAUUCUGAGUGCUCCAGACGUUUGCCGCUUUACACCCUUUUCGAUUGGUGAGUUGAAGGUAAUGCACCGAGUUUUUCUCGUGCGCUCCUCUGAUGCGAUGGCGACGACUACCUCAACGGACUCUGAUGUGGACUGCAAUCACGGAGUGUGGGAUGCGGCCACGCUCACCUGUGACUGCGAUGCUGGCUGGAGCACCGACUGGUUAAACCAAGACGUGCUCGGCGGCAACUAUGUCUACUGCAACAGCCAAGCGUCAACGCCGCCACCUAAUAACUCCAGCGCCACCACUACAUCGUUCUUGGCAGACAAGAGUACCCUGAUCAUUAUCGUGGCCCUUGCUGUUGUGUUGGCUGCGUUGUGCGGGAUAGUCGUAUUUUACUGCUACAGGAAGAAACGACGACGCGCUAAGGAAGAGGCGAAGGGGGCGGAAAUCGUGGCGGCAGCAAAUGAGGAAGCGCGACGACAAGAGGCGCUGCAACUGCAACAGAUGCAGGUGCAGGUGCAGGAGGAGGCAGCACUCCAACAGCAGCUGUGGGCCGCGCAGUUAGAGGCGCAGCGCCGAAAUCAAGCACUGCUAAACCAUCUCGUGAGCAUGAGUACCAUGCCAGCCGCCUCAAACUCACAGCUCUCCGCAUCAUCGCGACAUCAUCGGCGGCACUGGCAUGAGAUGCUUCCGCGACAUCAGGGUGAGGUAGCCUACGCGUGCGACGCCGACUAUGAGGGCGGCAACUCGUUGGCAGAAACCUUUGAUGGAUGGGGUUCACAGGAACCGUUCGUGCAGUGCCCUAGUUCCUACCGCCGCGGCGCCCCGCUGUCCGCCACAGAUGGCUACAACAACUACCCCGACAUUUUGCCCUCGUACUACACGGCUACGACAACGGAAGCACCGCGAAGAGAAGUAAACUCUCCUCCCCCGUAUGCGCAACUCGCCUUUCGCCAUCCACCAUUUUGAGACCGUGCUAGCGUACUCUUCCUCGAUGCACACAAAAAGCUUUUGUGCGCCGGCUACCCCGCUGCUUUUAUUGCUUCAUCCUGCUGCGCUUCUUCUUUGUUUCCGUCUCCCUUCCUCCCGCGCCACCUUUCAUGUGCGACUCAG
rnacentral:misc_RNA from 1 species